AUUGAACGCUGGCGGCAGGCUUAACACAUGCAAGUCGAGCGAGUGGCGGACGGGUGAGUAAUGUCUGGGAAACUGCCUGAUGGAGGGGGAUAACUACUGGAAACGGUAGCUAAUACCGCAUACCAUCAGAUGUGCCCAGAUGGGAUUAGCUAGUAGGUGGGGUAAUGGCUCACCCAGGCGACGAUCCCUAGCUGGUCUGAGAGGAUGACCAUCCACAAUGGAACUGAGACACGGUCCAGACUCCUACUGGAGGCAGCAGUGGGGAAGAUUGCACAAUGGGCGCAAGCCUGAUGCAGCCAUGCCGCGUGUAUGAAGAAGGCCUUCGGGUUGUAAAGUACUUUCAGCGGGGAGGCGUUACUCGCAGAAGAAGCACCGGCUAACUACGUGCCAGCCGCCGCGGUAAUAC
rnacentral:rRNA from 1 species